rnacentral:rRNA from 1 species
CAUGCUUAACACAUGCAAGUCGAACGGUAGGGUGCUUUCGGGCACCUGAGAGUGGCGCACGGGUGAGUAACGCGUGGGAACCCGCCCCGGAGUGGGGGACAACCGCUGGAAACGGCGGCUAAUACCGCAUACGUCCUACGGGAGAAAGGCUUCGGCCGCCCCGGGAUGGUCCCGCGUCUGAUUAGCUAGUUGGUGGGGUAACGGCCUACCAAGGCGACGAUCAGUAGCUGGUCUGAGAGGAUGAUCAGCCACACUGGGACUGAGACACGGCCCAGACUCC